GACGAACGCUGGCGGCGUGCUUAACACAUGCAAGUCGAACGGAAAGGCCCUGCUUUUGUGGGGUGCUCGAGUGGCGAACGGGUGAGUAACACGUGAGUAACCUGCCCUUGACUUUGGGAUAACUUCAGGAAACUGGGGCUACUACCGGAUAGGAGCUCCUGCUGCAUGGUGGGGGUUGGAAAGUUUCGGCGGUUGGGGAUGGACUCGCGGCUUAUCAGCUUGUUGGUGGGGGAGUGGCUUACCAAGGCUUUGACGGGUAGCCGGCCUGAGAGGGUGACCGGCCACAUUGGGACUGAGAUACGGCCCAGACGCCUACGGGAGGCAGCAGUGGGGAAUAUUGCACAAUGGGCGGAAGCCUGAUGCAGCAACGCCGCGUGCGGGAUGACGGCCUUCGGGUUGUAAACCGCUUUCGCCUGUGACGAAGCGUGAGUGACGGUAAUGGGUAAAGAAGCACCGGCUAACUAUGUG
rnacentral:rRNA from 1 species